rnacentral:rRNA from 1 species
AUUGAACGCUGGCGGCAGGCCUAACACAUGCAAGUCGCACGAGUGGCGGACGGGUGAGUAAUGUCUGGGAAACUGCCUGAUGGAGGGGGAUAACUACUGGAAACGGUAGCUAAUACCGCAUACCAUCGGAUGUGCCCAGAUGGGAUUGGCUAGUAGGUGGGGUAAAGGCUCACCUAGGCGACGAUCCCUAGCGUGUGUGAGAGGAUGCCCAGCAACACUGGAACGGAGACACGGUCCAGACUCCGACGGGAGGCAGCAGUGGGGAAUAUGGCACAAUGGGCGCAAGCCUGAUGCAGCCAUGCCGCGUGGAUUAAGAAGGCCUUCGGGUUGUAAAGUACUUUCAGCGGGGAGGCGUUACCCGCAGAAGAAGCACCGGCUAACUCCGUGCCAGCAGCCGCGGUAAUUC